rnacentral:rRNA from 1 species
GACGAACGCUGGCGGCGUGCCUAAUACAUGCAAGUCGAGCGGAUGACAGAGGAGCUUGCUCCUCUAGAUUCAGCGGCGGACGGGUGAGUGACACGUGGGCAACCUGCCCUGUAGAUUGGGAUAACUCCGGGAAACCGGGGCUAAUACCGAAUAAUCCUUCGGACCUCAUGGUCCGAUGUUGAAAGACGGCUUCGGCUGUCACUACAGGAUGGGCCCGCGGCGCAUUAGCUAGUUGGUGAGGUAACGGCUCACCAAGGCCACGAUGCGUAGCCGACCUGAGAGGGUGAUCGGCCACACUGGGACUGAGACACGGCCCAGACUCCUACGGGAGGCAGCAGUAGGGAAUCUUCCACAAUGGACGAAAGUCUGAUGGAGCAACGCCGCGUGAGUGAAGAAGGUUCUCGGAUCGUAAAACUCUGUUGUGAGGGAAGAACAAGUACCGGAGUAACUGCCGGUACCUUGACGGUACCUCAUUAGAAAGCCACGGCUAACUUCGUGCCAGCCGCCGCAGUAAUAC